ACAGUUCCAACAGUUCUUUCCACACUCACAAAGAAGCGUUGAAAGACUAUUCGGGCUGGGA
rfam:Caenorhabditis remanei strain PB4641 contig0.37, whole genome shotgun sequence.